rnacentral:rRNA from 1 species
UACGUAGGGUGCGAGCGUUGUCCGGAAUUAUUGGGCGUAAAGAGCUCGUAGGCGGCUUGUCACGUCGGAUGUGAAAGCCCGGGGCUUAACUCCGGGUCUGCAUUCGAUACGGGCUAGCUAGAGUGUGGUAGGGGAGAUCGGAAUUCCUGGUGUAGCGGUGAAAUGCGCAGAUGUCAGGAGGAACACCGGUGGCGAAGGCGGAUCUCUGGGCCAUUACUGACGCUGAGGAGCGAAAGCGUGGGGAGCGAACAGG